GAUGAACGCUGGCGGCGUGCUUAACACAUGCAAGUCGAACGAGCUUUAUUACUACGAUCCCUUCGGGGUGACGGUUUUAAAGCGAGUGGCGGACGGGUGAGUAACGCGUGGAUAACCUGCCAUAUACUGGGGGAUAACAGCUGGAAACAGCUGCUAAUACCGCAUAAAACUGUAGAGUCGCAUGACUUUAUAGCCAAAGCUCCGGCGGUGUAUGAUGGAUCCGCGUCUGAUUAGGCAGUUGGCGGGGUAACGGCCCACCAAACCGACGAUCAGUAGCCGACCUGAGAGGGUGACCGGCCACAUUGGGACUGAGACACGGCCCAGACUCCUACGGGAGGCAGCAGUGGGGAAUAUUGCACAAUGGACGCAAGUCUGAUGGAGCAACGCCGCGUGAGUGAAGAAGGUUUUCGGAUCGUAAAGCUCUGUUGUUGGUGAAGAAGGAUAGAGGUAGUAACUGGCCUUUAUUUGACGGUAAUCAACCAGAAAGUACACGGCUAACUACGUG
rnacentral:rRNA from 1 species